rnacentral:misc_RNA from 1 species
UGGCGAACCAGUCGGAAUGCAUAUCCAACGUUAGAUGGCGCUGUAGAUGUUCUUUGAGAAGACUGCGUGUUGCUGAAAGUCUCAACAACGCAGUUAGAAUAAACGAAGAAGUGCAGCAUUUCUAAUCAGAUUGCUCACAUCCAUCGAUGUUGAUCGGCCUACAGUACUGCGUCCAAUGACUUACCUUAUACGCCAUUCAGCAUAAUCUGCCUUGCCAAUGGAUGCUGCUGACGAGUCUAACAUGACGUGCCAUCAGGAUGUGAAUCCCAUAACUGCACAUUCUUUUGGGCCUGGGUGCUUUUUCCUGGAGCUGUAGUACCAGGCAGUCUUAAAGGACCUUGAGGACAGGUUCAAUUCAGUUGGUCAUAAGACAAGUAUUUGUUUUGACCUUUCCUGCACCUAAUUUAGUGCAGUGCUCAUAAG